UAGGGAGAGACAGCGCAUGGACUGGGAACAUCACUUAAUCCCAGUUGACGAGGAUGAAGGUUCCUGUCCGCAAGGGCGGGUUAACCGGAUCGACGCACGCAACCGUCGCAGCGUCACCAACAGGCUGCCAGCCUGAAGGCCGGGAAAAUCGAGAGAUCAGCGGAAGCCUUCCAGGUGCGCCAUCACCUGAUAUCUUUCCCUCCAGAUUCAUAAAC
rnacentral:ncRNA from 2 species